UACGGGAGGCAGCAGUGGGGAAUAUUGCACAAUGGGCGAAAGCCUGAUGCAGCUAUGCCGCGUGUAUGAAGAAGGCCUUAGGGUUGUAAAGUACUUUCAUCGGGGAGGAAAAACAAAACUAAUAAUUUUAUUUCUUGACGUUACCCGAAAAAGAAGCACCGGCUAACUCCGUGCCAGCAGCCGCGGUAAUACGGAGGGUGCUAGCGUUAAUCAGAAUUACUGGGCGUAAAGAGCACGUAGGUGGUUUUUUUAAAGUCAGAUGUGAAAUCCCUGGGCUUAACCUGGAACUGCAUUUUGAAACUGAAAUACUAGAGUAUCGUAGAGGGAGGUAGAAUUCUAGGUGUAGCGGUGAAAUGCGUAGAUAUCUGGAGGAAUACCUGUGGCGAAAGCGGCCUCCUAAACGAAUACUGACACUGAGGUGCGAAAGCGUGGGGAGCGAAACAGGGAUUAGAUACC
rnacentral:rRNA from 1 species